CGAACUGGCGAAACCCUGAGUUGCCGAAGCAGAGCACACGAACUUAACCGCUCGGCCACGGGGCUGGCCCCUGGCAUAUAUUUCUGAAUGACUGGGCAGGUGUCUGGAUUGAAAUGCUUUCUGCAUACAAAGUAACUCUUGAUUUCCAUACCAAAUCACAGGGCUGCAUGUAAAUCAUGGAAUGUAUAUACCCCACCUAGGCUGUCCUUCACCUUCUACUUUAUGUUUCUGGGUGUUUCAUUUGCACUUUCCUUUCCACUUUUCAGUGACAGAUUUCCAGUUUCAAUUUACCUGUGAUUUCUUGUUCAUGAGCAUUUAAUCUUCUGACUUUAACUUUUCAAACUGACAAGUCAUCUUCGGGGGUCCUUGGGAUGAGAGUUUCUCAUUUGAAAGCACUCCUUUAUUGCUUUUUCUCCUCCCUUCCUCCUCUCUGCAAGCCUCUCAGGUUGGCCUUCAGAGCAUUUCCUCUUGUGGUCCUGGUUACAGUUUCCAUUCAUGACAAUUGUUGGGGUUCUUUGUGGGGUUAAAAGCACGAUGUGGGGUCAUGGUUGAUCCAAGGAUCCUCAAAUGCUGUCUCUAAAACACACUUUCUCUUUCCCUCUUCCAUUCUUUCCAGGAUCCCAAUUUAACAUGUGUCAGACUUACAUUUCUGUACCUCAUGCUUGUGUUUCUCUUCACUAUUUUCCAUUAUUUGCUCCUCCUACUUUAGGGUGCACCUGUAUUAUUCCACUGGGUUAAUUUUUCCUUCUGCCAUUUCUAACCUGUCCUUUGAGGAAACUGUUAGUGAAAAUCACAGAGGUCUGGAAGAAACUGCUUCUUCUUCAUGACAGAUCCUUUGAUAAUGGCUAGAGCCCUUUUAUCAUUAUCAUCACUGUGGACAUGACAACAGACUGACAGAGAAUUUCAGUCAGUGGCCCAAGCGCCCACCAUUGCUAUAUGUCUGAGCUGGGAUUCAGACACAGGAGGCAUCAGACUCCAGGCUCUUGACCACCAAGUUAUCCCUACUGUCUGCCCUAAGACACACCUAAAACAAAGACAUCUUAUCCUGAAACAAACUGAGGCGAGCCAACCUCCAAACACACUUAGUUCUUACUACAGUGUCAUGUCUUCCCUCCAGAAACCACUGCCUGUUGCCUAAAACACUGGGCCCCCAAACACAACCAACUGCCACCCAUGACUACCUCUCUAAACAAAGUCCUGGCCACUCCCUCACUGAAGCCACUCUAACCUGGCCCUGUUUGCCAAGUCCAGUUUGGGGAGGAGAUCUGCCAGCUGGUUCCACCCAGGCCUCAUUUCUUUCUCGACAAAACACAAUCUCACACCACAGCUUGAACGUUUCCCUCUAGGAGGAGGAAAAUCCUUUUCAAGACAGAAGGCUAAGAAAGACUUGCCCAAUGAAUAUGGGGCACUAGGCAGGCCACCUAGGAAAUAGAGAACCUAUGAGGCUGGUUCUUCCAUCAGCAAGUCCCACCCCCUUCUCUGGACCUCAGCCUUCAGGUGGAGCAAUGCUUUCCUGCCUCCUAGGGCGCUCAUCUUGGGAGAAAUACAUCACCAGGGGAUGAGAAAGGCAUCAGGAGGCUAGAUGCCAUUCCUGACUUCCAUGCAGGAAUUCAGACCAGUCCCUCCCCUGGCCCUCGCCCUGAGUGCACAGAUAUGGGCAGAGGGAGAGGAGCAGCAUAUGGCUUGCCUGCUUCGUCAAAGGGAGGCUUGUCGUCCCUGCCACCUGUGGCAACAACCUGUCAAGGGAACAACUACUAAGGAAAGAGCCCUGGGUCCUGGAAGGCUCCUGGAAAGUAUCAUCACCCCUGUUGAAGGAGGAAGUUGCUGGGAAACUGGUGUGCCCCACCAGGGAGUUAGUGCCCUGCACGGCCAGGUCCUCCACUGCCAUGCCCAGGUACCCCAGGGAGGGUGGUGGUGGUGGGAGGCGGGGAGUUUUGGGAGAGAAAUGUGAACGGGUGAGGAGGGGGCUUCCACAAGUAUCCUAGAAGGCACUGGGAGAGUCGAGAACACCUAGGCGUGUGACACCAGGACAGGGGCCUCCUCUGCCACGUCUAAGGGAGGUACCGGUCUCAGAAUCAACGGGUUUUGGGUGGACAACACCUCCUCAAGCGGGACUCGGGGAUCUUGGCUGUCCACUGCCCCUCCCAGGACUUUACCCUUCCCUCCCAAUCUGACCUGAUUCCUCCCACAUACGCCAGUCCGGAUUCAAGGCCACAGAGGUGCCUGGCGGGUCUGCAACUCACCACCAAGUCAGGCCAACCACCGAGGCAGUGGCGGAGGAGACAGUGGCCAUGGAGGGGCGGUGGCAGUGGAGGACUGGGAUUUCCGGGACCUGAAGAGAGGAAGGUGCACCCCCAUCUCCCAUCCAUCUGCAUCUCCCUGCCUUCAGGGAGUCCAGCUUCCGGGAGAGGAAGCCGGUCCUCCAACUGCGCAUGUGUAGGCGACCAUUGUCUCUGGCCUCACAAUGACCCCCACGGUUGCUAAGCAAUGGGUCCACGGGGCUCUGAGGGUAAGGGUGAACCCUCUGGCAGUGGAUAUGUGCAGGUGCACAUGCAGGUGCAUGCUGUGGCCUGCAUCCUUCCAUGGGUCCUGCAGAUGUGCCUGACCCGGCCAUGGCUUCAGACCGGUGGUUGGAAGAAGCCCCUCUCCAUCCUGAGAGACAGUUUUCCAAACACAAGAAACCAGAAAACCUUAUCAGGAACUCAUUUUUAGACUUAUCUUUGAUUAUGGAAAAUGCUUUUUAAAAAAUCUCAAAUGAAGUAAUUUUAAAGGAUACACAUAUUCUUACAUUUGUGUAAAUAUUUUAAACACAAUAUUACAUUUUUUAAAGAGAUAGAUGCCUAAUACUGCAGAAUCAUGCGUGGUAAUGAUAUACACCAACUUUAACAUGAGUACCACAUAAGAGGGAGAUGGAGGAAUGUGUAAGGAUGAGACGUUAACCUGUGAAGCUUUAAGUUAAUGCAAUGAGAGAUCUACAGCCAAUAUGUAAACUUAUUGUCAUCAGUUGAAUCUGAAUACUGGCUACAUAAUGAUUGUAAGAUUUUGGAAUUCUCUUUACAUUUUAAAACUCAUAAUUAAAAAGAAAUAAGUAUAUCUUCAGUUUUACACAUUAUAGCUUGAAUUAAAUAUGCCACGUAGACAUCUCAAUGGAAGCAGAAGAAAUUAUUUUAUAAAAUAAAACGCAAAUUAGAAAUUAAAAAUUCUGGGUAAAUAAGUGGAGAAUUAUAUUUUAGCACUGGAGACUGAGGGCUAAGGGGAAGAAAGAGGUUUUGUCAUGGAAGCCAAGUUACACAGGGAUAUAACAGAAAGGAAAUGAUAAGUAUAUUAAAUUUGCUGUGGUCCAUUGAAAUAAGGACCAAAAAUUGCCUAUAUAAACUAGUGACAUGGAUGAAGAUGAGGUAUAAUGGAGAAAUUCAGAGGCAAGUGAGUAAGAGUUUUUGAAGAAAAAGCUGAAGAUUUAUCUUAUAUCAGAGGCAUUUGGUUCAAAAUUUAAAAGAUAUAAAAAUGUUUUCAGUCAAACGUAUAACUGUUUCCUUCCCCUUUCCCCAGCCAUCUAUUUCUUUUCCCCAGAGACCAGCACUAUUACUAGAUUCUUACAUAUCCAUUUAAAGAUAUUAUACUGAUUAUCAGAAAUCAUAUGUGUAUUUCCAUACAUAUGACAGCCUAUAAAUACUGCUGUACCCCUUGCUUUUUUAUUUUGAAACAUCCAUUCAAAAAUGUUUUUUUCCCACUAAAUAUAGUUAAUUAUUUUUUCAGUGUAAACAUGUGAAACUAUUUGAGUAGUUUAAAAAUACACUUAAGUAAAGAAUUAGAGUUGGUGGAUGGAAAAACUGACACCUUAUUUACCUGCUCCCAUAUUUCUGGAGCUAACUUGAUGCUUGUGUUUUUUUAAGUGCUCAGAAUUCCAUUAAUUUCAGUUUUUUCUUAAACUAUCUCAUGUCUGUUUUUCUUUCUUGCAACUUUGGUUCAUACCGGACUCACUAAGGAGCAUUUAAUUCCCACAAAUACUAUUUGUAUUUCAUAAAUGACAUAAACGUAAAGCACAAAGAGGAAGUGAGUUUUAAUGAAAGAAAUGAGAUAUUUAUUAAUAAUUGGUUAAGGCAACACACAAUCAUCAUCAUGCACCAUUCAGAGAGAGUGUGAAUCAUUUGUCAGUGCUUACAUAAUCGAAAUAGAAAGAAAUUGGUCAGUUUAGGCUAAGUUAUGCUGUAUUAAGAAGGAAUCCUAAAUCUCAGUGAUACAUAACAUAUAUUUAUUUCUUGCUCUUGCUGUAUAUCCAACAUUUCUAGGUUUAAAUCUUUUCUGUGUUGGUCUUCAUCUUGGUAUCCAGGCUGAACGAGUAAUCUCUAUUUGGGAUACUGGAACAACAUUUUAGCAGAGGAAAAGAAGAGACAAUAAUCCUAUACAAUGGAACACAAAACUAAUACUUGUAAGUGGCACAUAUCAAUUCUGUUCAUGUUUCACUGGCCAAACUAAAUAUAAUGGCUAAUCUUGAUGUCAGUGGGGUAGGAAAAUAUAAUCAUCCCAUAAGGAGGCACAUUGCAAAUCAUAUGGCUAAGUAUGACAUCAAGAGUGGGAGGAGAUAGAAUCUUCCUGUUGGGAAGGACCAUGAAUAUUUGGAAACAAUAAUAUAAUGAACUGCCAGAAGCAAAACAUAGUUGUCUUACAUUCCACUGACCAUCAUUAAAAGACCACAUCCUUAUAUGAACUCCACAUCAUGUACAGUAUUUAUCACGAUGGGGCAUGUUCCUUCUAAUUUAUUAAUUGGAAAUCAAAUGAUCACCUCAAGAGAGGCAAGAAAAGCACUUGAAAAAAUCUAACAUACUUCCUCAUAUAAACUCUAGACAAUGACAUGAGGAAUACAAUGGUGUUUCCUCAUCUGAAAAGGGACAUCUACAAAAAACCUACAGCCAACAUUACUCCUAAUGGUGAGUGACUGAAUGCUUUCUCCCUAACAUCAGGAACAAGGCAAGGAGGUCUACUCUCGCCAUUUCUAUGCAAAAUUACACUAUAGGUACCUACCCAUACAAUAAGGCAAAACUAAAAGAAAAAAAGGCAACCAGAAUGAAAAGGAAGAAUUAAACAGCCUCUUUUCACAGAUGACAAAAUCCUAUCAAAUAUACAAAAAAGUUAUUAAUAAGUGAGUUUAGCAAAGUCAAUUUUAUUUCUCACUAAAUCAACCGUAUUCCUUAAAACUAGCAACAAACAAUUGGAAAUUAAAACUAAAAAAAAAAUUUUAAUAACAUCAAAUAUAUGAAAUACUUAGUGGACAAACCUGACCAAAAAUGUACAAGAUCUAGACACUGAAAACUACAGAACACUGCUGAAAGAAACUAAAGAACACCUAAA